rnacentral:rRNA from 1 species
GACGAACGCUGGCGGCGUGCUUAACACAUGCAAGUCGAACGGAAAGGCCCUGCUUUUGUGGGGUGCUCGAGUGGCGAACGGGUGAGUAACACGUGAGUAACCUGCCCUUGACUUUGGGAUAACUUCAGGAAACUGGGGCUAAUACCGGAUAGGAGCUCCUGCUGCAUGGUGGGGGUUGGAAAGUUUCGGCGGUUGGGGAUGGACUCGCGGCUUAUCAGCUUGUUGGUGGGGUAGUGGCUUACCAAGGCUUUGACGGGUAGCCGGCCUGAGAGGGUGACCGGCCACAUUGGGACUGGGAUACGGCCCCGACUCCUACGGGAGGCAGCGGUGGGGACUAUUGCACAAUGGGCGGAAGCCUGAUGCAGCACCGCCGCGUGCGGGAUGACGGCCUUCGGGUUGUAAACCGCUUUCGCCUGUGACGAAGCGUGAGUGACGGUCAUGGGUAAAGAAGCACCGGCUAACUACGUG